UUUAUUCAAAUAAGUUUUCAAUUUCUUGCUCUUCCUCUUCUCCUUCUGGCACCUCUACGACUCAGAUGUGGGAAUGCUGAAAGUUGUCCCAGAGGUUCCUCAGCCUCUCCUCAUUUUUUUGAAUUCCUGUUUCUUCAUUGUGUUCUGGUUGAAUGUUUAUUUCUUCCUUUUCCCCCCCCAAAUUGUUGAUUUGAGCUUCGUUUCCUUCCCUUCACGGUUGGUCCUCUGUAUAUUUUGCUUUAUUUCACUUUGAGUAGCCUUCAUUUCUUCCUUCAUUUUGUGAGCAAUCUCAAUAAUUUCUGUGAACAUCCUGAUUACCAGUGUUUUGAACUCUGCAUCUGAUAGGUUGGCUAUCUCCUUGAUGCUUAGUUCUUUGUCUGACGUUUUGAUCUGUUCUUUCAUUUGGACCAUAUUUCUUUGUCUUGGUGCAACUGUUAUGUAUAAGAGGCAGAUGCUAAGG